AUAGCUUAGCAGGAAAGCACCUGCCUGGCAAGCAGGAGGUCAUGAGUUUGAUACCUGAUU
rnacentral:tRNA from 1 species